rnacentral:rRNA from 1 species
AUUGAACGCUGGCGGCAUGCCUUACACAUGCAAGUCGAACGGUAACAGGUUAAGCUGACGAGUGGCGAACGGGUGAGUAAUGUAUCGGAACGUGCCCAGUCGUGGGGGAUAACUGCUCGAAAGAGCAGCUAAUACCGCAUACGACCUGAGGGUGAAAGCGGGGGCUCGCAAGACCUCGCGCGAUUGGAGCGGCCGAUAUCAGACUAGGUAGUUGGUGAGUUAAAGGCUCACCAGGCCGACGAUCUGUAGCUGGCCUGAGAGGACGACCAGCCACACUGGGACUGAGACACGGCCCAGACUCCUACGAGAGGCAGCAGUGGGGAAUUUUGGACAAUGGGCGCAAGCCUGAUCCAGCCAUGCCGCGUGCGGGAAGAAGGCGUUCGGGUUGUAAACCGCUUUUGUCAGGGAAGAAAAGGUUCUGGCUAAUACCUGGGGCUCAUGACGGUACCUGAAGAAUAAGCACCGGCUAACUACGUG